AUGAGGGUUCUAUCUACAAUAUCCAGUGGUAACACCUUGGAAGAUGAUAUUACUGCCAGCAGUGCUGAAGUAUUUUCAUCAGAGGGCCGUAGUGUUACUCUGUCCUGUAACUAUUCAGUUAAAGCUUAUAGUCUUCAGUGGUAUCGACAAGAUCCUGGAUCAGCUCCUCAGUUCCUUCUCCUGAUCAUUGAAUCAACAUCUACUGUGAUGAAUGCAAAACCUGCAGACCCUCGACUGACUGUUAAACUGAAUAAUGAGAGAAAUCGAGUUCAUCUGCAGAUCUCCUCUGCUGCAGUGUCUGACUCUGCUGUGUACUACUGUGCUCUGCAGCCCACAGUGAAAGAGAAACGUGUUCAUCUGCAGAUCUCCUCUGCUGCAGUGACAGACUCUGCUCUGUACUACUGUGCCACCUGUCCACGACAGACAUGA